ACGGAAGGCAGCAGUGGGGAAUAUUGGGCAAUGGGCGAAAGCCUGACCCAGCAACGCCGCGUGAAGGAAGAAGGCCUUCGGGUUGUAAACUUCUUUUACCAGGGACGAAGGACGUGACGGUACCUGGAGAAAAAGCCACGGCUAACUACGUGCCAGCAGCCGCGGUAAUACGUAGGUGGCAAGCGUUGUCCGGAUUUACUGGGUGUAAAGGGCGUGUAGGCGGAACUGUAAGUCAGAUGUGAAAUCCCGGGGCUCAACCCCGGAACUGCAUUUGAAACUGCAGUCCUUGAGUAUCGGAGAGGCAAGCGGAAUUCCUAGUGUAGCGGUGAAAUGCGUAGAUAUUAGGAGGAACACCAGUGGCGAAGGCGGCUUGCUGGGCCGUCACUGACGCUGAGGUGCGAAAGCGUGGGGAGCGAACAGGAUUAGAUACCCUGGUA
rnacentral:rRNA from 1 species